GUGAAGGAAGGAAUAUAGCAUACUUUAUUCUUGUUAUCUACAAAAUAAUGCCAUCUUCUGUAGAUAUUAGCUUUACAUGAACAUGGAAAAAGCUCAGCUCAGAAUAUUUUGUAUUCUGCUUGAGUAACCAAUCCAAGGAUACAUUAGAGGAAACAGCUGUGAUGGAAGGUGAUGGUGGUGGUGGGGAGCAAGGAACUGGAUCUGUGAUUUCAUUAAUGAAGGGAACUACUGGUAAGGAACUUCUGCUGGUACAGAUUGAUAUCUUUUUCUAAAACUUAUGGUCUUAGAGGGUUUCUUGAGGCACUGAGAUGUGACUUGCCCAAGGUUACAAAGAUGAGAUGUCAGAGAUGAGAAUCGACCUCAG
rnacentral:lncRNA from 1 species